CCCUUAGAUGGUCUGGGCGGCACGCGCGCUACAAUGAUGCAUUCAAAAAGUCUUCUGACCUUAGAAGGUUGGGUAUUCUCCAAAGUGCAUCGUGAUGGGAAUAGUUUAUUGCAAUUUUUAAUCUUGAACGAGGAAUUCCUAGUAAGUACAAGUCAUCAACUUGUGUUGAUUACGUCCCUGCCCUUUGUACACACCGCCCGUCGCUCCUACUGAUUGAGUGUCUCGGUGAAUUCUUUGAUCUUCUGUCGAUUCAGUUCACUGAUCCGACGGUGGAAAGUUGAAUGAACUUCGUCACUUAGAGGAAGGAGAAGUCGUAACA
rnacentral:rRNA from 1 species